UACAACAUAUUUGCGCGUAUUUUUUACAAUUAAACUUUAAACAUACUUCAAAAUAAUUAUACUUUAGUAUAUUUUCUAAAAGUAUACUUUAGAAAAAUAUACUUAAAGUUAAAGUUUUGUGCAAUUUUUAAAGUAUACUAAAUUUAAACUUAUUUUAAAAUGUAUUUUAGGUAUACUUUAUCGGUAUGCUUAAAGUUAUCAUUAUAAUAAUGCACUGACAGUAUAUUUCUAAAAUACAUUAUUUAGUAUUCUUUAGAAACAGUAUAUUUUAAGCACAUUUUGAAAGUAUAUGGGGUGUACAAGUAUAUUAUUUUAUGGAGAAAUAACGUGGGCUUAAAAUUACGAGAGAGCAGUAUGUUCUGUUACAUUUUAUAUUGUAGAUGUAUACAUUUGUAAUAUACUAUUAACAUAAUAAGGUACACUUUAACUUCACUAUAGUCAAGCAUUGGAUAAACCAAUGAACUGUGUUUUACCACAAAAUGACCAUGGUUUUGCUAAUAAUAAUCAAUACACCAAAAAAAAAACAUGGUUACUAAACUUUUGCCACAAAAAAACAUUCAUUUUCGUAAGGGGAAUAUGAGUGUUUGUUUUUUUGUAGUUUUUGAGUCAAUUGCAUACCGCUUUUAGCUGUACACAUUAAUUAACUUAAACAGUUUUCGUAAAUGCAUUUCAGAGAAAAGUGAAUUCUGAGAUUUGAAUAAUGCAUCUGACGUGUGGGAUGACGUCACGACGCACGUAUUUUGAUUUUUACCAGUCGCUCAAGACAGACGGAUUCAGUCCCAAGAAGCUAAAGUUUUUCAAAGACAUUUGUAGGGAGGACUUUGCAGCUAAUGAUUUCCUAAGGCUGAACCAAAACCUGCCAGACUAAAGUUAAUUUGGGAGAGAAAGACGUUGUAAACUUAAUCAUCUUGACAUUCUUCAAUGAGUAAUUGUUCAAUUUUUAGGCAAAUACUGUACACUUUGAAUGCUGUGAAUAAAACUAUAUUUUAAAUAUAUUUAAAA